ACGGAAGGCAGCAGUGGGGAAUAUUGGGCAAUGGGCGAAAGCCUGACCCAGCGACGCCGCGUGAAGGAAGAAGGCCCUCGGGUUGUAAACUUCAGUCAACAGGGAAGAAACAAAUGACGGUACCUGUGGAGGAAGCCACGGCUAACUACGUGCCAGCAGCCGCGGUAAUACGUAGGUGGCGAGCGUUAUCCGGAUUUACUGGGUGUAAAGGGUGUGUAGGCGGGUCUGCAAGUCAGAUGUGAAAACCAUGGGCUCAACUCAUAGCUUGCAUUUGAAACUGUAGAUCUUGAGUGUCGGAGAGGUAAAUGGAAUUCCCAGUGUAGCGGUGAAAUGCGUAGAUAUUGGGAGGAACACCGGUGGCGAAGGCGGUUUACUGGACGAUUACUGACGCUGAGACACGAAAGUGUGGGGAGCAAACAGGAUUAGAUACCCUGGUA
rnacentral:rRNA from 1 species